GAGCACCGAUAGACUCAGAAAAGAAUGGCUGAAAAACUUGUGACAGCAAAAACAGAAGAAAAAGCAAAAGAAUUGGAAGAAGAAGCAAAGAAAGUGGAACUGAAAACCAAGAAGGAGCUGAAGCCCUGGGAGCAGCACUCUGCUGUCAUCACCAUUCCUCUUUUGACUACAAUGCCCCUUCUUCCCUCCCCAGUCAUUCCCACUCCGGAUUCCUCAUCACCUGCCCCAUCAAGAGGGAGAAGAGUGCAACAAAAGAAGCCAUGUCAAUUCUUGAAAAGUAUGUCAGAUCUUUGAGUAUUCUAAAUGCUGAAGGUUCUGAAAGUUUGGAUGUGAAUAUGUCAGCUAAGAAGAGGAGAAUAUCUGUAAGUACAGAGAAGGAACUUGGCAACAGUUUGGAGAGGAAAGAUGCAGCUGAUGACUUUGGAGAACCUGGUAAUAGUUUAAGUCUGGUAUUUUAGUUUAUACACAUGCUCAUACAGAUAAUGCAAAUUAACAUGUAUAACUACCUGCAAUCUACAAAGAAAAUGACGAGGGUGCGGAUUUGUUUGUAAGAACAGGUAAUAUGACUUGUAUGCAUCCUUGUACUAUAUAAGAUUGAGUUUUGGUGAAAGAGGGGAUUGCAUUUCAACCGCACAGGUAGGAACCUUUUGGAAAUGUGAAAUAUUCUGGUGUGUUUUACAAGCUAUAGGUACAAGUGAGGGAAGCUUGUGGUUAGGUAUAUUAUCCAAAAUACCCUUAUUUAUAGAGGGGUAAAACUUUAUGUUGGUGAAACAUCUGGUAUUUAUGGUAUGUGCAAUUAAUCUGCACCCAUUUGUUGCUUUUGGUACAACGCACAUAAGCCAGUGAGUUUGUGAACUUACUGUAAUAUCCCUUAACUAACAAUUAGUGGGGCUUUUGAGCCGCUUGCUGUGUCUGAAACGCUUGACUGGUUGCUGUACCCUCAUGAAUGCUAAGGCUUGGUCGGAACCCAUUUCUUGCUCAUUUACAUCUGAAUUUAACGGCCAUAAACGCGGGUCUGUUUACUCCCCUUUGAGCUUCAGUGCUUCAGUUUUCUCUUUUUGGCUUUGACUACCCCGACUUGCCUCAUCGUUUCCCUCUUCAUCCAAUCUCAGCUCUGAAUUGCCCAUUUGCUCUUCAUUAAUUACCCCCCAACUCAAUAGCCAAACCGCCGUUAUGUUACUGCCGAACCCGUCGCCCAUCAGUUUCACCCUUUUCGCAUUCUGCAAUUGGGAUAUUUCUUCGUGGCUUCAUGCUAAGCACCUCGAAAUGUACUUCAGUCGCAGCUAAUCCUGGUGGUUCAGUUUGAGCUGCAAGAUAGCAUUUUCCGUACAAAUCCGGCUGUCCUCUGUAAUUUGACUGGUUAACUUAUAUUUUUAUGGGUUUGGAGCAACAUCCAGAAGGAGCUCUCGGUUGGGUUUCUGGAAUAAGAGCUGGCCCAGCCAAUUUGGACAACUCAUCUUCCACAAAGUCCAGCGAAGGAACCAGUGAUGCAUCACCUGCACAACAAGAGGACGGAACCACCAAGAAGCAACGGAACUGAAUACUUAAGGCUGCCCUAUUAAAGUAUCCAUACUCAUCUACUACUACUACUAUAACUAAAUAAGGGACUCCAUAGAGCCAGAACUACAGCAUUUACUCUCUUUCUGCACUCCAAUCUUUCCUUCAUGGACUAUUACUGCUGAUCUCAUUCUCCGACUUUAUGGAUUACUUUAUGGACUAUUUCUGGUUUGCAAUGGUAACUGCUUCUCAUUAUUUGAUGGCUA